GUUUGAUCCUGGCUCAGGAUGAACGCUAGCGGCAGGCCUAAUACAUGCAAGUCGAACGAGGUUUAGUAGCAAUACUAAACUUAGUGGCGCACGGGUGCGUAACGCGUAUGCAACCUACCUUUAACAGGGGGAUAGCUCCCGGAAACGGGAAUUAAUACCGCAUAAUAUAAUUGAAUGGCAUCAUUUGGUUAUUAAAUUUACGAAGGUUAAAGAUGGGCAUGCGUCUGAUUAGCUAGUUGGUGAGGUAACGGCUCACCAAGGCGACGAUCAGUAGGGGACCUGAGAGGGUGAUCCCCCACACUGGCACUGAGAUACGGGCCAGACUCCUACGGGAGGCAGCAGUAGGGAAUAUUGGGCAAUGGUCGCGAGACUGACCCAGCCAUGCCGCGUGAAGGAAGAAGGCUUUCUGAGUUGUAAACUUCUUUUAUCUGGGAAUAAACGAUCCUUGCGAGGAGCAUUGAAGGUACCAGAUGAAUAAGCACCGGCUAACUCCGUGCCAGCAGCCGCGGUAAUACGGAGGGUGCAAGCGUUGUCCGGAUUUAUUGGGUUUAAAGGGUGCGUAGGCGGUUUAAUAAGUCAGUGUUUAAAGUCUGCAGCUUAACUGUAGGAAUGGCAUUGAUACUGUUAAACUUGAGUAAAGUUGAGGUAGGCGGAAUUGAUGGUGUAGCGGUGAAAUGCAUAGAUAUCAUCAAGAACAUCGAUUGCGAAGGCAGCUUACUAAGCUUUAACUGACGCUGAGGCACGAAAGCGUGGGGAUCAAACAGGAUUAGAUACCCUGGUAGUCCACGCCGUAAACGAUGAUUACUCGAUGUUGGCGAUAUUACAGUCAGCGUCUUAGCGAAAGCGUUAAGUAAUCCACCUGGGGAGUACGACCGCAAGGUUGAAACUCAAAGGAAUUGACGG
rnacentral:rRNA from 1 species